rnacentral:lncRNA from 1 species
AUAUACCUACAUAAAUAUUUAUCUUAAAGAUACCGCAUCUACAAAUAAUAAAUAAAAAAGCAAAAAGCAACAAAAAAAUAAAUGAAAACUCUAAAUGUUUUACAAAUGUAUGUAUAAAAACACACACAAAAACAAAAUAAAAACAAAACUGAACCCAAAGGAACACACGGAAAAAACAAAACAUAAAUGUAAACCAUUUUAAGCAUAAUUUAAAACUAGUUUAGAGCUCUGAAAGGAAACCCGCCCCCAACCCCAAAAGAGAUAAUUCUUUGGGGCAAGAAACAAUGAGAUGAAAGAUGGGCCCAGAUUCGGCUGGCCGAACCACAAUAUGCCCCUGCAAUGGCUGUGAGGAUAUUUUUGGGGCAGACAGAGACGAUCAUUGCCAUGAAAUUCGAACAGCAGAUAACGACAGAGAAUUAAACAAUCAUUGCAGGGGUAUUUCCACAUGAUAUUCAGUGUAUAUGUCUGUACUAUAUUUAGUGUACUUUUUGGCAGUCAAUUAAACGCUUUUCCCCCUUCCAAAACUUGGUAGCUAGAUAUGAGCCCCCCCACCUAUGGAUCUAAUCUGUGUAUCCGGGGCGGUAUUAUAAUGUUCCAAAAGGCAAAAUGUUUGUGUGUACCUAUGACAUAUUUGAAAUAUCCUUAGACAAGGGUAUGCGCAAUUUGGACCAACUUGACUACACAACCGACCAUACCCCUAUGUGACCCACUCUAUGCCACUAAGCAGAACCGAAUACAUUCACACCCACAGAUACAGAUACAGCUACUUAUUACUGGAGACAAAUGGAUACAGGAUCUAUGUAAUUAUAGGACAAAAGUAGCUCCACAUAUCGUCAUAAGUGCAAAACUUGUAGGUCUCCACACAAACACACUCACAAAGAAGAAGGUAGAGGUCAGAGCGAAAAAGAAGAGGAAAAACUGAAUACAAAAAACCCUCGUAAAAAGAGAGAGCAGACAGCUACUACAAUAGAAAAGAAAAAGAACUAGAAAAAAAGAAACUGAGCUGCAGAAGCUGCAGAGACAGAGACCUAGAUGAGGAGGAGGAGGAUGAUGAUGGCAUUACUACUUCUCCGUAACCGUAUCCCUAGCCCAUAUCCAAACCCUAUCACGAAUGCACCUGUGGAUUGGCCUGCAUGCAACUUAAUAUUUAUAAUUUUCUACUUAACUUACAAAGCAGCGACUCAAAGCAUACUAAAAGCAAACUACAAAUUUAAGAGAAAUAUUCCAAAACGGUUUCCAACAAUAAAACAACACACAUUCCUAAACGCACACACACAGACACACAGACAUGUGCACAAAGGUCCUGCGAGCGCGUGGGCAUACUCAGACUCAAGCAAAGCCCAACUCAAGGACACUGCCGAGUGGCUGCACAACAAAGAGAGAACGAUAUAGCGAGAGAGAGAGAGAGAGUAGGGCCGUUACUCUCAACUGAAGAGAUAGCGAGAGAGAGAGAGAGAGAGAGAGAGAGUAGAGUGAGAGAGCAUAACCACAUCAUCCGCAGAGCUGUAACCCAAUGUGGUAGCAUCAACCACCGAUAAUGGACCACACACCCAUGCAUGAGCCACACACGAUCCACGACGAUAAAUGUAUGUAUGUACCCCAUAGUCCUGCCCCUGAUACAUGUAUGCCCAAACACUCGAUAGGAUAGGCAAUGUCUCACUACUACAACUACAACUAAAGCUACAUUCAACUUAAACUCGAACUAAAUCAACUAACUAUAUAUGUAUGUAUGUAUUUAUGUACUAGUGACCCUCCUGAGAAAACUGACACUUGAAAAGACACACACACAGAUGCAAAAUACUAAAGACUAACAUUUGAAUAUACAAAAACCCAAAAACAUAAAGCAAACAACAGAACAAACAGGAAAACAAAACCAAAAAAAAAAGAAGAGUAAACUAAAACUUUAAAAUGAAAUUUUAAGCAAAAUGAAAAUCCUGCAACAGCAUUCUUCGGCAGGCCGAAGCUUAGAUGCUCUCUCACGCACGCACACACACACACACACACACACACACACACACAACAGCAGUAACAGCAGUAAUGGCAGUGGUGAAUAGAAAGCCAAAUAUGUAUUAUAGAUGUACUAUGUAUACUGGAAACGGUUUUGUUCUCCUCUUGCCGAACGAUGCACACACGAAAAAGAACGCUUUGAGCAACACCCGAUGCCUGGUAUACCCUUGCAAAAUGCAGGAUACUUCGUACGGGCUUUUGCAGGGGUAACACCAUGCCAUUUAGGUACACUUUAAAAUUUGAUGUCAAUGAAUCUGAACGAUAUAUACCUACUAUAUACAUGUACCGAAUAGAACUAUAUAUAAAUAUACAUAAACAAAUAGCAAUAAUUUGUAAGAGAAAACCCCGAAACCAAUUCACCCAGACAAACCGUGCAGUAGCCUGCAGUGCAUAUCGUGCAGCAAAACGGCAGCUCUGGAACACCACACACUCGAAACAUAUGAAUAUAAAAAAAACAGAAUUAAGAAAAAGAUACUUGAACAUGUUACCCGAG